CCCUUAGAUGUCCUGGGCCGCACGCGCGCUACACUGACACGUUCAUCAAGUCUAUAACCUUGACCGAGAGGUCUGGGUAAUCUUUUAAAAACGUGUCGUGCUGGGGAUAGAUUAUUGCAAUUAUUAAUCUUCAACGAGGAAUUCCUAGUAAACGCAAGUCAUCAACUUGCAUUGAUUACGUCCCUGCCCUUUGUACACACCGCCCGUCGCUACUACCGAUUGAAUGAUUUAGUGAGUACCAGGGACCGAGCGCUUUGGUUGGGUUUCCUUCCCUAGCGCUUGGGAACUGUCGCAAACUUGACCAUUUAGAGGAAGUAAAAGUCGUAACA
rnacentral:rRNA from 1 species